AUUGAACGCUGGCGGCAGGCCUAACACAUGCAAGUCGAGCGGAGCGGCGGACGGGUGAGUAAUGUCUGGGAAACUGCCUGAUGGCUGGGGAUAACUACUGGAAACGGUAGCUAAUCCCGCAUACUAUCAGAUGAGCCUAGGUCGGAUUAGCUAGUUGUGGGGGUAAAGGCCUACCAAGGCGACGAUCCGUAACUGGUCUGAGAGGAUGAUCAGGCACACGGGAACUGAGACACGGUCCAGACUCCUACGGGAGGCAGCAGUGGGGAAUAUUGGACAAUGGGCGAAAGCCUGAUCGAGCCAUGCCGCGUGUGUGAAGAAGGUCUUCGGAUUGUAAAGCACUUUAAGUUGGGAGGCGGUACCAACAGAAUAAGCACCGGCUAACUUCGUGCCAGCCGCCGCGGUAAUUC
rnacentral:rRNA from 1 species